rnacentral:rRNA from 1 species
CCUACGGGAGGCAGCAGUAGGGAAUAUUGCUCAAUGGGGGAAACCCUGAAGCAGCAACGCCGCGUGAGGGAUGAAGGUCUUCGGAUCGUAAACCUCUGUCAGCAGGGAAGAACGGUCACUGUGCUAAUCAGCAGUGAAUUGACGGUACCUGCAAAGGAAGCACCGGCUAACUCCGUGCCAGCAGCCGCGGUAAUACGGAGGGUGCGAGCGUUAAGCGGAAUUACUGGGCGUAAAGCGCUCGUAGGCGGUAUGUCAAGUCAAGGGUGAAAUCCCCGCGCUCAACGUGGGAACUGCCUUUGAAACUGGCAAACUGGAGUGUGUGAGAGGAUAGUGGAAUUCCAGGUGUAGGAGUGAAAUCCGUAGAUAUCUGGAGGAACAUCAGUGGCGAAGGCGACUAUCUGGCACAUAACUGACGCUGAGGAGCGAAAGCGUGGGUAGCAAACAGGAUUAGAUACCCGAGUAGUC